rnacentral:rRNA from 1 species
UGGGGAUUUUGCGCAAUGGGCGAAAGCCUGACGCAGCGACGCCGCGUGUACGAUGAAGGCCUUUGGGUCGUAAAGUACUGUCAACGGGGACGAACGCCUGAGAUUGAAUAGGUCUGAGGUCUGACGGUACCCGUGGAGGAAGCACCGGCUAACUCUGUGCCAGCAGCCGCGGUAAUACAGAGGGUGCAAACGUUGCUCGGAAUGACUGGGCGUAAAGCGCGCGUAGGCGGACUAUUAAGUCAGGGGUGAAAUCCCGGGGCUCAACCCCGGAACUGCCUUUGAUACUGGUAGUCUUGAGUUCGAGAGAGGUGAGUGGAAUUCCGAGUGUAGAGGUGAAAUUCGUAGAUAUUCGGAGGAACACCAGUGGCGAAGGCGGCUCACUGGCUCGAUACUGACGCUGAGGUGCGAAAGUGUGGGGAGCAAACAGGAUUAGAUACCCGGGUAGUCC